UACAAAGAGAGCAAGCGUUGUUCGGAAUUAUUGGGCGUAAAGGGCGCGUAGGCGGCGCCACAAGUCACUUGUGAAAACUCUGGACUCAACUCAGAGCCUGCAAGCGAAACUGUGGUGCUGGAGUAUGGGAGAGGUGCGUGGAAUUCCCGGUGUAGCGGUGAAAUGCGUAGAUAUCGAGAGGAACACCUGUGGCGAAAGCGGCGCACUGGACCAUAACUGACGCUGAGGCGCGAAAGCUAAAAAAGCAAACAGG
rnacentral:rRNA from 1 species